ACUCUUUUGGUAGCAGCCUAAGCAAUUAGGCUGAUGGCUGGUGACUUUUUGGUCACCAGCCU
rfam:Hafnia alvei FB1, complete genome.